rnacentral:rRNA from 1 species
AAAACAUUGCCUCACGAAAACAAAAAUGAGAGGUCCAUCCUGCCCGGUGACCUGCGGGUUAAACGGCCGCGGUACCCUGACCGUGCUAAGGUAGCGUGAUAAUUCGCCCUUUAAUUGUGGGCUUGUAUGAAAGGACAAACGAGAGUUCGACUGUCUCCCAGGUAGAACAGAAAAUUGUCAUUCAGGUGAAGAGACCUGAAUUUAAAUAAAGGACAAAAAGACCCCAUAGAGCUCCGUUGAACGCCCAGUCAACUACAAAAUAUUUAUAUAUUUGUAGUUGACUGAGUAACAACUUAACUGGGGCGGUUAAGGAAAAUUCAAAGCUUCCGUUUAUAGUUCUAACUGCACAACCAGGCAACACAAGCCGUAUAUUCAAUUGAUCCUUAAACCAAAGAUCAAAGGAUUAGCUACCUUGGGGAUAACAGAUUCAUCCCCCUUGAGAGUCCGCAUUGACAGGGGGGCUUGACACCUCGAUGUUGGCUUAGGAUAACCUAAGGGUCUAGCAGCAGCCCUUAACGGUAGGUUUGUUCAACCUUUAAAAUCCUACGUGAUCUGAG